rnacentral:rRNA from 1 species
GUGGGGAAUUUUGGACAAUGGGCGCAAGCCUGAUCCAGCUAUUCCGCGUGUGGGAUGAAGGCCCUCGGGUUGUAAACCACUUUUGUAGAGAACGAAAAGACACCAUCGAAUAAAUGGUGUUGCUGACGGUACUCUAAGAAUAAGCACCGGCUAACUACGUGCCAGCAGCCGCGGUAAUACGUAGGGUGCGAGCGUUAAUCGGAAUUACUGGGCGUAAAGGGUGCGCAGGCGGUUGAGUAAGACAGAUGUGAAAUCCCCGAGCUUAACUCGGGAAUGGCAUAUGUGACUGCUCGACUAGAGUGUGUCAGAGGGAGGUGGAAUUCCACGUGUAGCAGUGAAAUGCGUAGAUAUGUGGAAGAACACCGAUGGCGAAGGCAGCCUCCUGGGACAUAACUGACGCUCAGGCACGAAAGCGUGGGGAGCAAACAGGAUUAGAAACCCCAGUAGUCC